UCCUGCAGCCAGUCAGCCUUCCAGGAGUGGUUGUCUUCCCACUUCUCUCCGUCCCUUCCCGCCUUCUCUCCUUCGUCUUCCUUCGAAUAAACCUCGUUUUUGGAAAAGUGGCUGUGCUUGUGGAGCCCUCCUUCACACGGGUGUGCUGUGCUAGCCGGGACCGGGAUCGCCUGCAGAGCAGUUCGGGGGAACCUCUCUCCCGGGGAGUUGGAUCCACACGACUGCCCAGGACAAGAACCCGUGCGGGACCCCCACACCACCGGGGACCCCAGAAUCCCGCAGAUAUCGUGGAGAACAACUGAAACUCUGAAACAUUUUUUUCAUUGAAUGAAAAUAUUGCUUGGUUACCAAAUAUGUGUGACAUUCAGUAGUAUUAAAAGAUUUCCUGAGUACCAUGAGUGAAGUCUGAACCUCAGAGCACCAUCAGAAGGAAAUAAAGAGAGGGAGAGAGGACCCCACACUGAAGCAGGUUGGUUGGCAGGAUUUAUGACCCCAAAGGUCAAACCAACACUAAAGCUGUCUGUUCCCAAAGAACUGCACCCUGUGCAAGGGAUGGGACCAAUGCUGGAGCAGUUCAUGAAGAAAUGGAGCAGUUCAUGAAGAAAUGUGUCUCAUGGGAGGGAUCCCAUAUUGAAUCAGGGAAAUGGAACAAGGAGUUCUCCCUCCAAGGAAGAAGGAACAGCAGAGACAAUGUGUGGUGUUAUGGACUGAAUCCAAAACCCCAUCCCUGUUUCCCCUGCACUGCUGAAGGGUAGGAGGUAGAGAAAAUUGGGAGUAAAGUUGAGCCUGGGAAUAAUGAAAGGGGAACGUGUAUUAAGAUUUAUUUUUUAUUCUCAUUGUCCAUGAUUUAUCUGAUUUUAUUGGUAAUAAAUUUAAUUAUUUUCCUCAGGUUGGGUUGGUUUUGCCUGUGAUGAUAAUUGCUGAAUGAUGUUUUCCUGCC